UACGAGGGGUGCAAGCGUUGCUCGGAAUUAUUGGGCGUAAAGGGUAGGUAGGUGGUCUCAUUUGUCUUAUGUGAAAGCCUUGGGCUUAACUCAAGAAGUGCGUAAGAAACGGUGAGACUGGAGUCCUGGAGAGGUGAGUGGAAUUCCCGGUGUAGCGGUGAAAUGCGUAGAGAUCGGGAGGAACACCAGAGGCGAAAGCGGCUCACUGGACAGGUACUGACACUCAACUACGAAAGCGUGGGGAGCAAACAGG
rnacentral:rRNA from 1 species